rnacentral:rRNA from 1 species
AGCGAACGCUGGCGGCAGGCCUAACACAUGCAAGUCGAACGGAUCCUUCGGGAUUAGUGGCGGACGGGUGAGUAACACGUGGGAACGUGCCCUUUGGUUCGGAACAACUCAGGGAAACUUGAGCUAAUACCGGAUGUGCCCUUCGGGGGAAAGAUUUAUCGCCAUUGGAGCGGCCCGCGUCUGAUUAGCUAGUUGGUGAGGUAACGGCCCACCAAGGCGACGAUCAGUAGCUGGUCUGAGGGGAUGAUCAGCCACACUGGGACUGAGACACGGCCCAGACUCCUACGGGAGGCAGCAGUGGGGAAUCUUGCGCAAUGGGCGAAAGCCUGACGCAGCCAUGCCGCGUGAAUGAUGAAGGUCUUAGGAUUGUAAAAUUCUUUCAGCGGGGACGAUAAUGACGGUACCCGCAGAAGAAGCUCCGGCUAACUUCGUG